rnacentral:rRNA from 1 species
AGAGUUUGAUCCUGGCUCAGAACGAACGCUGGCGGCAGGCCUAACACAUGCAAGUCGAGCGCCCCCGCAAGGGGGAGCGGCGGACGGGUGAGUAACGCGUGGGAAUUUUCCUCAAGGUACGGAACAACUCAGGGAAACUUGGGCUAAUACCGUAUGAUGUCUAGCGACCAAAGAUUUAUCGCCUUGGGAUAAGCCCGCGUCAGAUUAGGUAGUUGGUGGGGUAACGGCCUACCAAGCCUGCGAUCUGUAGCUGGUCUGAGAGGACGAUCAGCCACACUGGGACUGAGACACGGCCCAGACUCCUACGGGAGGCAGCAGUGGGGAAUCUUGCGCAAUGGGCGAAAGCCUGACGCAGCCAUGCCGCGUGAAUGAUGAAGGUCUUAGGAUUGUAAAGUUCUUUCGCUCGUGACGAUGAUGACGGUAACGAGAGAAGAGC